UAAAUUUCAAAUGGUAUUUUUUUUCAAGGAGUAUUUGGCAGCAGACUGCUGGAUGAUGUUUUUUUUUUUAUUAUUUCUAAUUGUAUUUUAACGGAUCUGCGAUACUACACAAACAAACAAUUAACAUCACUCUUUUUCAGUAAUGCAUUAAUGAGUUUUAUUCCUUUAUUCCUAUUGAUAUGAACUAUUUGUCAAAGGUUC
rnacentral:lncRNA from 1 species